rnacentral:rRNA from 1 species
CACGUAGGGGGCGAGCGUUGUCCGGAUUUAUUGGGCGUAAAGAGCUCGUAGGCGGUUCGGCAAGUCGGGUGUGAAAUUUCGAGGCUCAACCUCGAAACGCCACUCGAUACUGCUGUGACUGGAGUCCGGUAGAGGAGUGCGGAAUUCCUGGUGUAGCGGUGAAAUGCGCAGAUAUCAGGAGGAACACCAAUGGCGAAGGCAGUUCUCUGGGACGGUACUGACGCUGAGACGCGAAAGCGUGGGGAGCGAACAGG